AACGAACGCUGGCGGCAGGCUUAACACAUGCAAGUCGAGCGCCCCGCAAGGGGAGCGGCAGACGGGUGAGUAACGCGUGGGAACGUACCCUUUGCUACGGAAUAGCUCCGGGAAACUGGAAUUAAUACCGUAUGUGCCCUACGGGGGAAAGAUUUAUCGGGAAAGGAUCGGCCCGCGUUGGAUUAGAUAGUUGGUGGGGUAAUGGCCUACCAAGGCGACGAUCCAUAGCUGGUCUGAGAGGAUGAUCAGCGACAUUGGGACUAAGACACGGCCCAAACUCCUACGGGAGGCAGCAGUGGGGAAUAUUGGACAAUGGGCGCAAGCCUGAUACGGCCAUGCCGCGUGAGUGAUGAAGGCCUUAGGGUUGUAAAGCUCUUUCACCGGAGAAGAUAAUGACGGUAUCCGGAGAAGAAGCCCCGGCUAACUUCGUGCCAGCAGCCGCGGUAACAC
rnacentral:rRNA from 1 species